rnacentral:misc_RNA from 1 species
GAUGAAGAACGCAGCGAAAUGCGAUAAGUAAUGUGAAUAGCAGAAUUCAGUGAAUCAUCGAAUCUUUGAACGCACAUUGCGCCCGCCAGUAUUCUGGCGAGCAUGCCUGUUCGAGCGUCAUUUCAACCAUCAAGCCCCAGGCUUGUGUUGGAGCCCUGCGGCUGCCGCAGCCUCCCAAAACCAGUGGCGGGCUCGCUAUCACACCGAGUGCAGUAGUUUACUCUUCGCUCAGGGCGUGUGGCGGGUGCUAGCCGUGAAACCCCCAACUUCUCAAGGUUGACCUCGGAUCAGGUAGGAAUACCCGCUGAACUUAAGCAUAUCAAUAAGCGGAGGA